GAUGAACGCUGGCGGCGUGCCUAAUACAUGCAAGUCGAGCGAACAGACGAGGAGCUUGCUCCUCUGACGUUAGCGGCGGACGGGUGAGUAACACGUGGAUAACCUACCUAUAAGACUGGGAUAACUUCGGGAAACCGGAGCUAAUACCGGAUAAUAUAUUGAACCGCAUGGUUCAAUAGUGAAAGACGGUUUUGCUUUCACUUAUAGAUGGAUCCGCGCCGCAUUAGCUAGUUGGUAAGGCAACGGCUUACCAAGGCGACGAUGCGUAGCCGACCUGAGAGGGUGAUCGGCCACACUGGAACUGAGACACGGUCCAGACUCCUACGGGAGGCAGCAGUAGGGAAUCUUCCGCAAUGGGCGAAAGCCUGACGGAGCAACGCCGCGUGAGUGAUGAAGGUCUUCGGAUCGUAAAACUCUGUUAUUAGGGAAGAACAAAUGUGUAAGUAACUAUGCACGUCUUGACGGUACCUAAUCAGAAAGCCACGGCUAACUACGUG
rnacentral:rRNA from 1 species